rnacentral:tRNA from 1 species
UCAGCCGAAACCAAAAAGAGGUAAAUCACUGUUAAUGAUUAAAUUGAAUUAUCCGGCCGAU